AACGAACGCUGGCGGCAUGCCUAAUACAUGCAAGUCGAACGAGAAAGCCUUCGGGUGAGUAGAGUGGCGCACGGGUGAGGAACGCGUGGGUAAUUUGCCUUCUAGCCUGGGAUAACCUGCUGAAAGGCGGGCUAAUACCGGAUAAGCUUACGAAUCGCUUAGGUUUUGUAAGAAAAGGCACUAGUGGUCACUAGAAGAGAAGCCCGCGUCCCAUUAGCUUGUAGGUGAGGUAACGGCUCACCUAGGCUGCGAUGGGUAGCUGGUCUGAGAGGGUGAUCAGCCACACUGGAACUGAAACACGGUCCAG
rnacentral:rRNA from 1 species